rnacentral:rRNA from 1 species
UGCGUAGGCGGAAUAAUAAGUCAGUGGUGAAAUCCUGUGGCUCAACCACAGAACUGCCAUUGAUACUGUUAUUCUUGAAUAUAGUUGAGGUAGGCGGAAUGUGUAAUGUAGCGGUGAAAUGCUUAGAUAUUACACAGAACACCGAUUGCGAAGGCAGCUUGCUAAACUAUUAUUGACGCUGAGGCACGAAAGCGUGGGGAGCAAACAGGAUUAGAUACCCUGGUAGUCC